CGUAGGUGCGAGCGUUGUCCGGAUUUAUUGGGGCGUAAAAGAGCUCGUAGGUGGUUUGUUGCGUCGGGAGUGAAAAACACGCUGCUCAACGGUGUGCUUGCUUUCGAUACGGGCAGACUUGAGGAAGGUAGGGGAGAACGGAAUUCCUGGUGGAGCGGUGGAAUGCGCAGAUAUCAGGAGGAACACCGGUGGCGAAGGCGGUUCUCUGGACCUUUCCUGACGCUGAAGGAGCGAAAAGCGUGGGGAAGCAAAACAGGCUU
rnacentral:rRNA from 1 species